rnacentral:rRNA from 1 species
UACGGAGGAUCCAAGCGUUAUCCGGAUUUAUUGGGUUUAAAGGGUGCGUAGGCGGCUCAUUAAGUCAGGGGUGAAAGACGGUAGCUUAACUAUCGCAGUGCCUUUGAUACUGAUGAGCUUGAAUGUAGUUGAGGUAGGCGGAAUGUGACAAGUAGCGGUGAAAUGCAUAGAUAUGUCACAGAACACCAAUUGCGAAGGCAGCUUACUAAAGUACGAUUGACGCUGAGGCACGAAAGCGUGGGGAUCAAACAGGAUUAGAUACCCGUAG